AUUGAACGCUGGCGGCAUGCCUUACACAUGCAAGUCGAACGGCAGCGGACCUUCGGGUGCCGGCGAGUGGCGAACGGGUGAGUAAUAUAUCGGAACGUACCUUUCAGUGGGGGAUAACGUAGCGAAAGUUACGCUAAUACCGCAUAUUCUGUGAGCAGGAAAGCAGGGGAUCGCAAGACCUUGCGCUGAUUGAGCGGCCGAUAUCAGAUUAGCUAGUUGGUGAGGUAAAGGCUCACCAAGGCGACGAUCUGUAGCGGGUCUGAGAGGAUGAUCCGCCACACUGGAACUGAGACACGGUCCAGACUCCUACGGGAGGCAGCAGUGGGGAAUUUUGGACAAUGGGCGCAAGCCUGAUCCAGCCAUGCCGCGUGAGUGAAGAAGGCCUCGGUUGUAAGUACUCUUUCGGUCCGGGU
rnacentral:rRNA from 1 species